CCCAAAACAUACUUUAUAAAACAAAUGUUUCACAUUAUAUAAUAUUUAUAUCGAACAAAUUUUCAUAUUUUUCAGGAAAAAGGGUAGGCCAGAGACAUUAAUAGAGAUAUAUAGUUUAAAGUGUAAAGGUGGUUUUUGAAUUUGGAACAUCCCCUUGUAGACAUAAACUUGCUUCAUGUUGAUUUGCAAAUGCAUUUUGAAUGCACCUUUAAAUUGAUAAUUGUUCCAACUGUAGAAUUUUCCAAUAUUCCGCAGUGAUCUCACACUUAUCAUUUGUCUUGAUACAAUGUAUCCGUCCACUUUUGGAUAACCUCCGUUUUAAGCAUAUGUAAAAUGGAGUAAAUCAAGUACCUAUGUUCCAUCAUAUAAAAAAUAUUGUCCUUUAACGUAGUAGUUUAGGGUAUAAACCAGCUAGAGGCUCGAAGGUGUCUGGAUAGCGUCGCUCAUCUGUCAUGUUGACCGCCAAAAACUAUACAAUACAAUUAGGCAUUUUGCCAAAACAGAAUAGGAUUGAUUGAUUGUUGGUGUUUAACAUCUAAAUCCCAGCAUGCACUUUGAUAUAUGGAAGCUAAUGGUACAAUUAAAGA
rnacentral:lncRNA from 1 species